rnacentral:rRNA from 1 species
AUGUUGAUUUCACCCAAUCCUUCACCUACCAACUCAAGCUCAGAGACCUUAUCAAAAAACCAGAAAAUGUUCAUUCGGGCGGUUCAAAAGAAAUUUAAAGCUGACCAAGGAUUCUUUGUCAGGAAAGUCACUGCUGCAUUGUUCAACUAUAGUCAGCAAACAGGGGUGCAAUAUGAACUUCAGGUGAUAUGCACUGUGAAUCCUGUUGUGGUUGAAGGUACAAGUGUUGCCCUUUUUAAGAAAAAUGGCAAAUAUGAGUAUUCUCAUAUCAACUUUUUGGCAACGCCCAAGGGAUCAAACUUCUCUGCCCCUGGUCCAGUACUAUUUUUUGCCCAAUGUAGCAAUGGUGAUAAAGAUGAGGAUGAAAGACCAUCCAUGUGCGUCCCUGUAUCGAGUUCCUGGAUAUCUGAUGUUCGUUGCUUUAACUGUGAGCACAAGGGGAUAAAAAUUGUUCAUCCAUACCAUGAAACUUAUCAUGGGCGUGGUGAGGACUUUGUUGCAAUGGCUCGUGGAGAUCAUAGCAUCUGCAAUGAAGACCUAAUCAGCUCAUGUGAAUUUCAUGCCGAUCUGAUGUGCACUUUAAAGGAGGAUUGGAUCUUUUUUGAUCCUAACAUGGACGGUACAAUUGCUGACAAGAAUCCCAUUGAUGACUGCGCUAGGGCAAUGAAGAGGUGGAAAAACAGAAUCUUUUGA